rnacentral:rRNA from 1 species
ACGAAGGAUGCAAGCGUUAUCCGGAAUUAUUGGGUUUAAAGGGUGCGUAGGCGGACUAAUAAGUCAGUGGUGAAAGCCUGCAGCUUAACUGCAGAAUUGCCGUUGAUACUGUUAGUCUUGAGUACAGUUGAGGUAGGCGGAAUGUGUCAUGUAGCGGUGAAAUGCUUAGAUAUGACACAGAACACCGAUUGCGAAGGCAGCUUGCUAAGCUGUAACUGACGCUGAGGCACGAAAGCGUGGGGAGCAAACAGG